AUAAUUGGCAGAUCAUUGCAUUAAAUUUAGAAUUUAACAUGGA
rnacentral:tRNA from 1 species